CAUAAACACUGGUAACAAGGGGAAACAGCUACCUCGCUCUGCUACAAGUUCAAAAUCCACCUACCAGCACCUCCAGGGCCUACUCAUUAACAUGUUUUCUGGCCUUUGAAGUCCAAACAGAAAAGUAACAAGGAGCCAUCUCGCAGACUCUGGGAGCCACCUGAAGCAACAAACAUGACCUACCUGUCACUGAGAAACCCAAACAUAGGGGCACCGACCAUAACACCAAUGAAGAAGACUGUGGCUGUUGCCUUGUUCAUCCCUUUUCUGCUGCACACGAGAUCCCACUGCAAAGACAUGAUUGAAAGCAUUACAGUAAAACAUUUUGCAGUUGUCCAUAGUGGAAGCUGAACUCAAUACCAAGUCAAAACUAAAUGUUUCUUACGUUUGCAUUUAAUAAAAAAUUCAGCCACAAA